AAACCAACCGGGAUUCCCCUAGUAACGGCGAGUGAACAGGGACCAGCCCAACUUUGAAAUCUCCUCGGUCCCCGGGGCGAAUUGUAGUUUCUAGGGACGCCUACUCCUCGGAGGGCGGCCCAGGCGCAAGUCCGCUGGAACGCGGCACCAGAGAGGGUGAGAGUCCCGUGGCGCCUGGGGCACCGCUCGCCGCUGCGAGGCGACUCCCAGAGAGUCGGACAGUUUGGGAAUGCUGUCCUAAGCGGGUGGUAAGCGCCAUCCAAGGCUAAAUACCGGCGAGAGACCGAUAGCACACAAGUACCGUGAGGGAAAGGUGAAAAGCACUCUGAAAAGAGAGUGAAACAGCACGUGAAGUCGUCAGAAGGGAAGCGUUUGGCACCAGCGCACUGCGCGCGGUGGCGAUCAUCCCGUCCCCCUCGGGGGGCGGGUGCACUCGCCGCCCGCGUGGGCCGGCAACGGUUGGGCAACUUGAAACCGCGGCACGACGCCGGGCGGAAGGUACCCCCUCGGGGGACUUACAGCCGCCCGUCGCGCACUGCCGCGGGCCCGACCGAGGACCGCGUGCCCGUCAAAGGGGAGGCCCCUCGCCCCGGUCGUACCCGGCCGCCGGACCGCUUGCGGACCGCCGCGGUCUAGGGUCGGCCCCGCGCGAGGGGACCCUCCACCUCGGGCGUCACAGGGUUGCCGGCAGAAUGGUAUCAAGCGAC
rnacentral:rRNA from 1 species